rnacentral:rRNA from 1 species
GCCACACUGGAACUGAGACACGGUCCAGACUCCUACGGGAGGCAGCAGUGGGGAAUAUUGCACAAUGGGCGCAAGCCUGAUGCAGCCAUGCCGCGUGUAUGAAGAAGGCCUUCGGGUUGUAAAGUACUUUCAGUUGUGAGGAAGGGGGUAGCGUUAAUAGCGCUAUCUCUUGACGUUAGCAACAGAAGAAGCACCGGCUAACUCCGUGCCAGCAGCCGCGGUAAUACGGAGGGUGCGAGCGUUAAUCGGAAUUACUGGGCGUAAAGCGCGGUUCAUUAAGUCAGAUGUGAAAGCCCGGGGCUCAACCUCGGAACUGCAUUUGAAACUGGUGAACUAGAGUACUGUAGAGGGGGGUAGAAUUUCAGGUGUAGCGGUGAAAUGCGUAGAGAUCUGAAGGAAUACCAGUGGCGAAGGCGGCCCCCUGGACAGAUACUGACACUCAGAUGCGAAAGCGUGGGGAGCAAACAGGAUUAGAUACCCUGGUAGUCCACGCCGUAAACGAUGUCUACUUGGAGGUUGUGGCCUUGAGCCGUGGCUUUCGGAGCUAACGCGUUAAGUAGACCGCCUGGGGAGUACGGUCGCAAGAUUAAAACUCAAAUGA